CCUACGGGUGGCAGCAGUGGGGAAUAUUCGGCAAUGGAGGCAACUCUGACCCAGCAACGCCGCGUGAAUGAUGAAGGUCUUCGGAUUGUAAAGUUCUUUUCUAAUGGAAGAAGAUAUUGACGGUACCUUAGUAAUAAGCCUCGGCUAACUACGUGCCAGCAGCCGCGUUAAUACGUAGGAGGCAAGCGUUAUCCGGAAUGACUGGGCGGAAAGGGGGUGUAUGUUGUGUGACAAGUUAGUAUCGCAACUCCGGAGCUUAACUUCGGAACUACGACUGAAACUGUUGGACUAGAGUGCAGGAGGGGCAAUCGGAAUUCCUAGUGUAGCGGUGGAAUGCGUAGAUAUUAGGAAGAACACCAGUGGCGAAGGCGGAUUGCUAGACUGAAACUGACACUGAGGCACGAAAGCGUGGGGAGCAAACAGGAUUAGAUACCCGUGUAGUC
rnacentral:rRNA from 1 species